rnacentral:rRNA from 1 species
AGCCUGAUGCAGCGACGCCGCGUGGGGGAUGACGGCCUUCGGGUUGUAAACCCCUUUCAGUAGGGAAGAAGCGAGAGUGACGGUACCUGCAGAAGAAGCGCCGGCUAACUACGUGCCAGCAGCCGCGGUAAUACGUAGGGCGCAAGCGUUGUCCGGAAUUAUUGGGCGUAAAGAGCUUGUAGGUGGCUUGUCGCGUCUGCCGUGAAAACCCGAGGCUCAACCUCGGGCGUGCGGUGGGUACGGGCAGGCUAGAGUGUGGUAGGGGAGACUGGAACUCCUGGUGUAGCGGUGAAAUGCGCAGAUAUCAGGAAGAACACCGAUGGCGAAGGCAGGUCUCUGGGCCAUUACUGACACUGAGAAGCGAAAGCAUGGGUAGCGAACAGGAUUAGAUACCCUGGUAGUCCAUGCCGUAAACGUUGGGCACUAGGUGUGGGGGACAUUCCACGUUUUCCGCGCCGUAGCUAACGCAUUAAGUGCCCCGCCUGGGGA